rnacentral:rRNA from 1 species
AGCCUGAUCCAGCAAUGCCGCGUGAGUGAUGAAGGCCUUAGGGUUGUAAAGCUCUUUUACCAGGGAUGAUAAUGACAGUACCUGGAGAAUAAGCUCCGGCUAACUCCGUGCCAGCAGCCGCGGUAAUACGGAGGGAGCUAGCGUUGUUCGGAAUUACUGGGCGUAAAGCGUGCGUAGGCGGCUAUUCAAGUCAGAGGUGAAAGCCUGGAGCUCAACUCCAGAACUGCCUUUGAAACUAGAUAGCUAGAAUCUUGGAGAGGUGAGUGGAAUUCCGAGUGUAGAGGUGAAAUUCGUAGAUAUUCGGAAGAACACCAGUGGCGAAGGCGACUCACUGGACAAGUAUUGACGCUGAGGUACGAAAGCGUGGGGAGCAAACAGGAUUAGAUACCCUGGUAGUCCACGCUGUAAACGAUGAUAACUAGCUGUCCGGGCUCUCAGAGCUUGGGUGGCGCAGCUAACGCAUUAAG